rnacentral:lncRNA from 1 species
UCGAAACAAAAUUUUGAUGGGAUGUGAAGGGGGUUAGAGUCUUUUCAUGGCAAUGUGGGGAGCCUUGACAUAACAUGUGGUUGGCGGCAAGACAUAGUGAUAGAAAUGAGACAAUGAUCACAGCAAUGUUAGAAGUGGUAUCUAGGGAAAUAAUCAUCUUGCCUGUGAUCCCGCUUGGAAGAUGAACGAAUACGUGAAGUAGACAAACCCAUGUGGUCGAACAAAUCCUCACACUCUGACGUGCUUGCAGAACUCUAUAGACAGAAGCAAUCCACAAACCACAAUCAACACACAAUAAGCACCACAAAAUAUGCAUGACAUGAUCCACAAACACAUAUGUUGCAUGUUUGGUUUAAUUAUGCAAGGCAUGACAA